CAUAUACUCCCUCCGUCCCAAAAUUCUUGUCUUAGAUUUGUCUAAAUACGGAUGUAUCAAGUGACAAGAAUUUUGGGACGGAGGGAGUAUAUC
rfam:Triticum aestivum genome assembly, contig: Triticum_aestivum_CS42_TGACv1_scaffold_602576_7DL